GGAGAGCCCCUGCCCUUUCUCCCUCGGCCGCUCGGGCUCCCGAAAGUGGGGGAAGCCCUGCAGGGGUCCAGCCGGCCGCCCGCCGUCCCCCACAAGCUCCUCGGCUGGGGUGGGCCAAGCCCGCCUGCCGCGCCCCCGCACCUCCUCCAGGGAGGAGGACUGGGGGACCAGUUGCUCUCGCCGGCUCCACAAUCGUUUGGGCCGGGUAGCGACCGACUUUUGUGAGCGUCCUCUCUCUGCGGCUCUCCGCCGGCCAGGCGGGCAGAGUUCCUUUACUAGCUGUCCCUUCUUCCCAGCCUGGGCCCUUGACCCAGUCUCUCUCCGAGGAGAUGAUGAGCAGGCAACCACGCACUGACCUUCGUGGACAAACAAACCCAGCUGCCCGCCUCAGGUCCUGGUAUAACUCAAGAUAAGUGAUGCUCCUUCCCUGCAAUUCCUUUCACCACCUCCUUCAUACACUGGAGGAAAGGGAUCAUCAAGCAGAGUUAUCAGCACAGACGUGGAGACCUGGCAAUGACCUCGACUGCAGUGGAAAUUGGCCCAGCCAAGGAAUCAAUGGCCCUCAAAUCCAGGGGCUACAGGCACAAGACGGGAUUGCAUGGCCUGUCCCUUGUGAUUGGGGCUGGGCCCACAUCACUGAUCUGGUUGGCCCCCUGCACUCCUCCAGCUGCUGAUGUGAGAACAUCCAGAGGUCUCUUUCCAGCACGGCAACCGGCAACAUUCAAGAUGCAGCUGCUCCACCGUCCUGAAUCCCUGAGUGUCCCCGUGUCCGAUGGCCCUGUCAGCCCCUGAUGGAGGUGUAAUGACAGCAUAAAACAAACCUGGGUUGUUUUCAGACACUGAGAUUUGGCUAUUGCUUUGUUUUGCAGCAUAAUCUAGCCAAUCUGGCCUGGUGACUGAGCCUUUCAAAUAGUUACACCCCAGCCUUACCGUGUGUACAUUGCUGUCUGUUGUAUUUAUUAGCUGAGGCUGUUUCCUGUUACUUAGAAAAAUAGGUGAGUUGAAACUUUCUGUAUUUGUGACAGUCACUAAACUUGGAUGUUGACAUGACUAAUCUUUUUUGUUAAUACAGAUUGGGGCUUUUUAUACUAGAAGAAAGGGGCCCCUUCACCUGCUGAGAAGGGGAAACCUUUCUUCCUUACACUGGUUAAGUUGCAGCUGUCUCCUUGCUUCCUUGCAUAAUGACCUUAAGGCUGACAACACAUUUGGAAAAGGAACUCCUGGUGGUUAAUAACAGCAGUGAAUGCAAGAGGAGAGUAAAACACUGAGGAGGAACUGAUGGGAUUUUUUUUUUUCCGAGACAGAGUCCAGCUCUGUUGCCUAGGCUGGAGUUCAGUGGCAUGAUCACAGCUCACUGCAGACAGCCUUGACUCCUGGGCACAAGUGAUCCUCUCACCUCAGCCUCCCAAGUAGCUGGGAUCACAGAUGCAUGCUACCAUGCCCAGCUACUUUUUGUAUUUUUUGUAGAGACAAGGUUUCACCAUGUUGCCCAAGCUGGUCUCCAACUCCUGGACUUAAGCAAUCUGUCCACCUCGGCCUCCCAAAGUAUUGAGAUUGCAGAUGUGAGCCACCAUACCCAGCCGGAAUUGAUGGAAAUUAUUUCAAUCUAGGAUACAGAAGUCUCCCUUCUAGGGAAAUAGAUACACAACUCCUAGGCUAAGAAAGGCCUCAUUCAUUCAUUCCUCAACAAACAUUCAUUGAGCAUUUAAUAAAUGUUCUGCCCAGAUGGAGCUUAUGUCCUGGUGGGGGUGUCAGACAAUAAGCAUGAGGACAAAAGUGCAAUGAAGGAAAUAAACAGGGACUGAGACAGAAUGGCUGAGGGAAGGAGUGGACAGGGAAGGCCCUUCUGAAUAGGUGAGGCCGAUCCAUUUCAACCAAAACCUGGGGAGAAUGACGCCUUUCUUAGCCUAGGAGUUGUGUGUCUAUUUCCCUAGAAGGGAGACUUCUGUAUCCUAGAUUGACAUAAUUUCCCACGAGCACUCCAGCCAGAGAGGCAGUGGCUCAGAGGCCUGAGAGGGAAACAGCCUCGUAUAUAAAAUCAAUAGGGAGAGAAGGCGACCCAAAGCACGAGUGUAGUGCAGUGAUGCAGGGGAGAAGCGGGAGAUAAGUCAGAGUGGCACAGGCCUUUAGGCCAAAGCAAGGACUUCGGGUUACCCUGUAAGAGGAACGGGAGGCCCCUGGAGGAGAUUGAGAGGGGAAUGCUGUCAGCAGACAUUUUCUAUAAAGGCCCUGACAGUAAACAUUUUAGGGUUUGUAGGCCACAGCAUCUCUGUUGCAACUGUUCCACUCUGUGGAAGCAGACACAGACACUAUACACAUAAACGAGCGUGGCUGGCUGGGCACGGUAGCUCACAUGAGCCUGUAAUCCCAGCACUUUGGGAGGCCAAGGCUGGAGGCUGGCUUGAACCCAGGAGUUCAAGACCAGCCUAGGCAAAGUAGGAAGACCCCAUUUCUGCCAAAAAAAAAAAAAACAGCUGGGGUGUGGUGAUGCACCCCCAUAGUCCCAGCUACUUGGGAGGCUGAGGUGGGAGGACUGCUUGAGCCUGGGAGGUUGAGGCUGCAGUGAGCUGUGAUUGUGCCACUGUACUCCAGUCUGGGCGACAGAGUGAGAUCCUGCCUCAGAAAAUAAAAUAGAAAAUAAGUGUGGCUUAUUUUCCAAUAAAACUUUACUUACAGAAAAUAAAAUUGGAAUUUCAUGUUUUCUGAGGCACAAAAUACUAUUCUUCUGAUUUUUUCAACCACUUAAUAAUAUAAAAAUAUUUUUUUGCUCAUGGACCAUACAAAGCCAGCUGGCAGCCUGGAUUUGGCCUGCGGGGUGUAGUUGGUGGAGCUCUGAUUUGGAUCACUCAGGCAGAAUGAUAGCUGAAGCAGAGAAACUGUUUAGGAGGCUUUUGCAAAAGAAACCAUCAGAAGGGCAUGAAGGCUCGACUUGGGUAGCUGUGGUGAAGGUGAUGAGAGGAUUCAAGAUGUGCUUUGGGGCUGGGGCACAGGACACACUGACGUACAAGGCACGGGGGUGAGAGACAGCGGAGUCCAGGAUAAUUCAAUGAUGGUGCCAUUUACUGCAAAGGACUGCUGCAAAGGAGUAGGUGUGAAGGAAGCAGGAGCUGCAGCUGGACCAUAUUUUGAGUUGGUUUCAGUUUGCAUCUUGACGGACUUAACCAAGCUUGACUUGAAGUCCAGGGAGUAGGAUGUCUCCACACCUGGAUUUUUUCAGAGGCUGUUACUUACAAGCUGUGUGUGACCUCAGGCUUAUCAUUUUUGUUCAAUCUUUUUUGUCCUCUCAAUAAUGGAGAUAUUAUUUCUUGCUCAUCCCUUUCUAGAUAGUGAUGAGGAUCAAGUGAGAUUUAACUUGAACCUGAUCAAGAAUUCCCACCAGACCUGGCACUUCAGUACCCACCCCCUGCUUAUAACCAAAUCCAACUCCAAAUGGAUUGAUGGCUGAGUCUAGAUUUUGUGGGGGAAUUGUGGAGGCAUAUCACUCAUUGCACAGCAAAACUGGAAAUCCUCUUUCAACUUUUCUGUUCUUUCUGGGAAGUCUCUUUCUCUGCUCCAGGUGCCUCAAUGGUCUUGCCUCAUUUUUCCCACGCUCUUCUUAGUCUCUCACGUCACUCACUCAAAAACCCCUGAUUGGGGUUGAAGGAGGAGGAAGGGGCGUAUCCUGGUGAUGGUAGAACUGUUCUGUAUCUUAACUGUGGUGGUGGAUAUAAGAGCCUACACAUGUGAUAAUGUGCUGUGGACCUAAACACGCGUGCACGGUGAUAAUGUGCUGUGGACCUAAACACGCGUGCACGGUGAUAAAGUGCUGUGGACCUAAACACGCGUACACGGUGAUAAUGUGCUGUGGACCUAAACACGCGUGCACGGUGAUAAUGUGCUGUGGACCUAAACACAUGUGCACGGUGAUAAAGUGCUGUGGACCUAAACACGCGUGCAUGGUAAGAAAGUGGUGUGUACUUAAACACGCGUGCACACACAGGAACACGGAGAGUACAAGCGAAACUGGAAACUGGAGUAAGAUUGGUAGAUUGUUUCAAUGUAGCUUGCCUACAUUGAAAGAUACAUCUUGUAUCUGUGGUUUUGCAAGAUGUGACCAUUGGGGGAAGUGGAUAAAUGGC
rnacentral:lncRNA from 1 species